GGGCUUUUUUCACACGACCGAAACCCCUAUAUUCAGCCUGCCGGCGCAAGCCGGCUAUGGCGAUAAACGGGCGUCGUAAUAAACCUUUCGGACCCGGGGGCAGUACCCGGCGCC
rnacentral:tmRNA from 1 species